UGAACGCUGGCGGUAGGCCUAACACAUGCAAGUCGAACGGCAGCACAGUAAGAGCUUGCUCUUAUGGGUGGCGAGUGGCGGACGGGUGAGGAAUACAUCGGAAUCUACUCUGUCGUGGGGGAUAACGUAGGGAAACUUACGCUAAUACCGCAUACGACCUACGGGUGAAAGCAGGGGAUCUUCGGACCUUGCGCGAUUGAAUGAGCCGAUGUCGGAUUAGCUAGUUGGCGGGGUAAAGGCCCACCAAGGCGACGAUCCGUAGCUGGUCUGAGAGGAUGACCAGCCACACUGGAACUGAGACACGGUCCAGACUCCUACGGGAGGCAGCAGUGGGGAAUAUUGGACAAUGGGCGCAAGCCUGAUCCAGC
rnacentral:rRNA from 1 species